rnacentral:rRNA from 1 species
UACGGAGGAUCCAAGCGUUAUCCGGAAUCAUUGGGUUUAAAGGGUCCGUAGGCGGUUUGGUAAGUCAGUGGUGAAAGCCCAUCGCUCAACGGUGGAACGGCCAUUGAUACUGCCAGACUUGAAUUAUUAGGAAGUAACUAGAAUAUGUAGUGUAGCGGUGAAAUGCUUAGAGAUUACAUGGAAUACCAAUUGCGAAGGCAGGUUACUACUAAUGGAUUGACGCUGAUGGACGAAAGCGUGGGUAGCAAACAGG